UAACCAGUACAAAAUAAAAUGAAAUGCAUAAUUAUUGUAGUUUAAUGACGAUUUAUAUUUAAACGAAUUAACAUGAAAAAUGUGAUAUAAAACACUAUAUCCUGUCGUUUUCAUAAAAAAAGUGAUUUAGGCAGCGUGCACUGACACUGAUUAUCCAGUACUUUUGUUUGUUAUAAAAACCAAAUAUCAUAUAUAACACAUUCCUUUAUCAAGUAUAAGAUGUUUGUGCAACAGGAAAUAUACAAGCAAGUUCGGUCAAAAGCACAAAUAAGUCUGCACUUCACCACAAAGUUAAAUAAAAAAUAUAAAGUUUUACAAUGCAACUUUGUCCUUAGUCAAAACGAUAAUAUAUUUAUGAGACCAAAGAUUGUCCAUAAGACAGUACCGAAAAUAAAAUAUAUAUAACACUGUUAACCACUACUAACACAUAACACCCAGCGGCCAGCGGUGAUUUUCAGAAGGACUUGCCGAGAUCAAGCUGCGUUGGGCGGGGUACAUGAGCGCUAAGUACCCGUUGGUUGUCUGGAUCAGAAAUCCGAAAAAGUCGGGGCAGAUUUUUUAAUAAACGCUCUCUUUAUAAACCGACCGCAAAUUUGAACUUUUUAUACAUACAUUCUCGCCUAAAAAGCUUUUGAACAUACACUUUGUGACACAAUAAGAGUAAUAUUUCAAACAUUAUGCAGGCGUUCUCUUCCAUUGGUGGCUGUCGUAAGUUCACACGAAUCUGCUGAUGACGUUUCACAUGGACAGACAACUACGCAUUAUUGUAUUUUUAAUUGUAUUUUUUGCGUGUGUUAUUUUUAUUUAAUUAUUAUGAAAAUCAUGGUCAUUAUUAUUGAGCCUUGGCUGGCAGUCUGUUUUGAUUUUGUUUUAUUGAAAAAACAAACACACAACGCUUAUUGUGUUGCGCCUGCGCAGUGACUUUCUUUUCCAACCGCCUUUCCAGGCAAGAGGACGUGAAGAAUGUUCCUGUCUGCAUCAGGUAAGAAAUUAAAUUAAAAAUUACAGUUAUAAUAUGAUAUCUAUUUUUCAUAUAGUGUAAGAAACGUUCGUAUUAAUUGUGCAGGAGACUGUUAAUUUAAACUUUAUUAUGGUAACGUUAAAUGCUCGCUCGUUUUGCAAAGUUACGUUUGGAGAUUCAUGUUAACAGUCAUUGUUUAAUGAAAGGCACAUUGGACUACGUGUUAGUAAUAUGUGUGACACUUGCUUGCAGCACUGUAAAGUAAAUCGUUAACACCGUGUCCUAAAUAGACGUGACACGCGGUAACGGGUUUCUUUUCAGUUUAUGUCCUUACGUUAUAGGACGGGUCAUUAUAAAUUAUGCCUUUCGAUUAUCGCAACGCCUCGUCGCGUUUGGUUAAGCACAUGGUGGAACAGUAUGCACAUCACUGUACCUACUGUACACCUGUGAGCGGCAUGACGAGACAAAAGACGGUAAAAUUCAUUAUUAAUCGGUGAUGCUGUACAUUCUGGAUGAUGCACAGCCACAUUUUAUAAUACUGUUUUUUAUUUUCGUGUCGCGCCGCUCGCGUUCAAUAUAAAGUUAGACAAGACGCAAUUAAUUACUGGGAGAGUAGUGGUCUAAUGGUAAGAGUCGAACUUCACGAACCUUUCACUGCUUGCAGUAAGGCUAAAGUGCUACGUGAAUAAGAUUAGUGUAGUUUUGUGCUACUAGCUGUAAAGUGUUUUUGCACUAUUGAGUUAUAAAUACUGCCCAGUAAUACUUAACUAGAUGUAAAUCACAAUUCUUGUGUCAAUGUUUGUUUGUAAUCUUUUUCAGCUAUCCAUCUGAAAAAGAAAAGCUGGCACUCGCAAAGGAGAUUGUGUUGUUGGAUUAUGGUCUCAUUUGGUCAAAAAGAGGGACAUGUACCGAGCAUUUUUUUUUUUUUGAUGGGCCAUCACACAGUGGAUUUAUAAAAAUGAGAUUACAGAACAUCAGACGGUAGCUUCAACAGAGUUGAAGUGGGAGGACAUCAUCAAUAAAGAAUGCCAUUGACCAAACCUUCAGUCAUCAAAGAAGAUGGAUACAGGUAAUGACAAAAUCACCAAUUAUUGGGGGACAUCAAGUUUUCCAGACUUACCGAUGGGAAAGAAGAAAUGGGAAUGUGACAAUUAUUGAGAAACUCAGGGAAAAAGCAUCUUUAGAGAAGAAAAUGGACAUCAGACAUUUAUUGAAGAAAGCUGACAGUCAACAUAAUGAUGAGAGCUGUGUUAUACAAUGUUAAGGAUACUCGUUCAUCUUCUGCUGUGUGAAUUCUGCUGUGUCAGUCCUGUGGGACUUGAUGCCGGCUGGUAGCAGUGUGACGUCUUUGCUUACUAAAUGAUCAAAGGGUGUCUGAAAUCAGCUCAGCCACAGUUGGUUUCCAGCGGUUCUUCAGGACAUGGAGGCCACUACGUAACUGUUGCAAUGAACGAUUAUUUUGCCUUUCCACCUGAUGUUGACAAUCUGACCUGUGCGGUACUGAAAACAACUUGCACUGACAUAUCUUAAAAUAUAUCAGUGUCCUUUGUUUUGCCUCAAAAUGCACACCAGUAAUGUUUUUUGUUGAAACCAGUUAUAUUUCCUAAUUAAACUAAGGCCUAGUCCUGGAUUAAGCUAAUCCACUGUCCGGGAAACCACCCCUAAAUGUUUUGUGACGGAAAUUUCUUUGAAUACACUUGUCAAGUUCAUUUUAAGUAUUUUUCUAAAUGUAAGAUAACAUGUUAAUGUUUCAGGACAAGUUAAAUUUUUUUGAUACUUGCAUGUUGGAAACGAUUUCAGACAUUGUUCUAUUCAACAUGUUUAACACAGUUGCUUUUAAAUUCAAUGAAUUAUUUUAUAAAUAGUGUUUUAAAACGUAUCAAUGUAAUGUAUGUUUGAAGUUAUUAUACUUGCACUUACAUUUAUUUAAAUUAGCAUACAUCUAGCAACAUAGAGUACUAGCAUAUUUUCAUGCAAGCAUUAAUUGUCAAAUAUUUGUUAUUUUACAAAUAAAUAGUUUGUGAACAAUAUUCAAUAGUUGUCUGCUUGAUUUCAUAAUUUAAAGUUUACAAAUCAUAUGUUUUUUUUUCUCUUUAAUAUUAAAACUAAACAAUUACUCGGUAACACACAGUUGUGUUAGAUUAAUAGAAAGUUACACAUUAAUGUGUUUACAGAAGCAACACAUUUUUGUGUUGCAUUUUAUAACACAUAUUCUGUGUUAAAUUUAACUCAACAUGUGUUGUCCCUGCGCACACUCAGAACAUGUGUAAAAAAUAACACAUGUUGUGUUGUUUUUAACACAUUUGUUUUAAG